CAGACCUCCGCCAUGACUUACGUCAAAACAACCAACCAGCUCCUUUAAAGCUAGUCUAACCCAGACGACUGCAACCUAAUAUCGCUUUUAUUAAAUUAAUUUCACUUUAAAAAUUGUCACAGGGUGCUGCACAGACAAGGAUGUAAACCAAACUUAUUAUUUUAUUGUAUAACUUUUAAUAAGGGAAGAUAGCAACGGUGGAUAGCAGCUAAUGACUGUCGGUCCUCCAACCGUGUAACCGCGGAUUUACGGUGAACACCUUUUACAAGUUGUCUAACAGAAGCAGUUGAAAAAGUGACCAUGGGACGUCCCAGAUGUAACCAGAAGGAAGCACAGCACAGGGGCUCGAGUUGAAAGAGUGGGGGGAGACAGUGAUGAAGAGGAGGAAGAUGAGCGCAGCGCAGGAUGUAAGAGGAUUUGGAGCUAAUUAGGGGAGUAGGAGACGAGGGAAGAAACAUGAUAGAGGACGACAGAAGGAGGGGAGGGAAGGCGUACGCUGGAAAAAAGAGGAAGUGGGCAGCCUUCAUUCCUCUUCUCUUCCCUCCCCGGACUGAUUUUCUCCGUUUCACACCUCUGCUAACAGAGGGGACCGGCCAGAUGGAUGCAGCGUGGGAGUCCGAUUUGUUCAGAGCAUGCUGGCGGAUGAAGACGGGGGGCUGGGAAAAACAAUCGAGACGACAUUUACUCGAUGCACGAGGCAUCUUCUCUACAUGAUGGUACUUUCUCCCUAUGUUGCUCAGUAAUAAUUCAGUAAAUUCCUCGUUGGGAUCCAACAGAGUGAGAAUUCAGCAUGUUCACCUGCUAACUAAAAAGACCUCUGAUGCAAUAAUGUCUUUUAGCAACGGGGACAGUCAGAUGAUGAGGUCGGGGGCAAUUAAGAGUAAACCUCCUCACAGCAGAGGAGAGAUGACUCUCCAUAAUGACUGCUGACAUGUGGGUUUGGAAAACUCAUCUGGGAAAGCCAA